GUGGGGAAUAUUGGACAAUGGGCGAAAGCCUGAUCCAGCCAUGCCGCGUGUGUGAAGAAGGUCUUCGGAUUGUAAAGCACUUUAAGUUGGGAGGAAGGGCAGUAAGUUAAUACCUUGCUGUUUUGACGUUACCGACAGAAUAAGCACCGGCUAACUUCGUGCCAGCAGCCGCGGUAAUACGAAGGGUGCAAGCGUUAAUCGGAAUUACUUGGCGUAAAGCGCGCGUAGGUGGUUUUGUAAGUUGGAGGUGAAAUCCCCGGGCUCAACCUGGGAACUGCCUGCAAAACUGCAUGACUAGAGUACGGUAGAGGGUAGUGGAAUUUCCUGUGUAGCGGUGAAAUGCGUAGAUAUAGGAAGGAACACCAGUGGCGAAGGCGACUACCUGGACUGAUACUGACACUGAGGUGCGAAAGCGUGGGGAGCAAACAGGAUUAGAAACCCUUGUAGUCC
rnacentral:rRNA from 1 species